rnacentral:rRNA from 1 species
ACGAACGCUGGCGGCGUGCUUAACACAUGCAAGUCGAACGGAAAGGCCCUGCUUUUGUGGGGUGCUCGAGUGGCGAACGGGUGAGUAACACGUGAGUAACCUGCCCUUGACUUUGGGAUAACUUCAGGAAACUGGGGCUAAUACCGGAUAGGAGCUCCUGCUGCAUGGUGGGGGUUGGAAAGUUUCGGCGGGUGGGGAUGGACUCGCGGCUUAUCAGCUUGUUGGUGGGGUAGUGGCUUACCAAGGCUUUGACGGGUAGCCGGCCUGAGAGGAUGACCGGCCACAUUGGGACUGAGAUGAGGCACAGACUACUACGGGAGGCAGCAGUGGGGAAUAUUGCACAAUGGGCGGAAGCAUGAUGCAGCAACGCCGCGUGCGGGAUGACGGCCUUCGGGUUGUAAACCGCUUUCGCCUGUGACGAAGCGUGAGUGACGGUAAUGGGUAAAGAAGCACCGGCUAACUACGUG